AUUGAACGCUGGCGGCAUGCCUUACACAUGCAAGUCGAACGGUAGCACGGGUGCUUGCACCUGGUGGCGAGUGGCGAACGGGCGAGUCAUACAUCGGUACAUGUCCUGUUGUGGGGGAUAGAUCGGUGCAAGCCGGAUUAAUUCAGCACACGUAACACGGAUGAAAGCGGGGGACCUUCGGGCCUCGCGCUAUAGGGUUGGCCGAUGGCGGAUUAGCUAGUUGGUGGGGUAAAGGCCUACCAAGGCGACGAUCAGUAGCUGGUCUGAGAGGACGACCAGCCACACUGGAACUGAGACACGGCCCAGACUCCUACGGGAGGCAGCAGUGGGGAAUUUUGGACAAUGGGCGAAAGCCUGAUCCAGCCAUGCCGCGUGUGUGAAGAAGGCCUUCGGGUUGUAAAGCACUUUUGGCCGGGAGGAAAGGCUUAGCCCUAAUACGGUCAGUGGAUGACGGUACCGGAAGAAGAAGCACCGGCUAACUACGUG
rnacentral:rRNA from 1 species